AGACGGAGGAUGCAAGCGUUAUCCGGAAUUAUUGGGCGUAAAGCGUACGUAGGCUGUUUUAUAAGUCUGUUGUCAAAGCCCGAGGCUCAACCUUGGAAAGGCAAUGGAAACUGUGAGACUAGAGAGAGAUAGGGGCAGGAGGAAUUCCAGGUGUAGCGGUGAAAUGCGUAGAUAUCUGGAAGAACACCAGUGGCGAAAGCGUCCUGCUGGAUCUCAACUGACGCUGAAGUACGAAAGCUAGGGGAGCGAAUGGGAUUAGAUACCCCAGUAGUCCUAGCCGUAAACGAUGGGUACUAGGUGUUGGCCGUAUCGACCCGGUCAGUGCCGUAGCUAACGCGUUAAGUACCCCGCCUGGGGAGUACGGUCGCAAGAUUGAA
rnacentral:rRNA from 1 species